GAGUAAAUAAUUUAAAAGUUGUUGAUAAAACUGGAAAUAAACAACGAUGAGUUUCCUGAAGGCAGGAGACUUAUGUCUUAUUUUACUUUCACCUCCUAGCUCAGAGCAUCACAUCUAGGAGUCAUCAUUACAUGAAGCUUUUUGAAUCAAUGCUCUCCCACCAGAUAGCAGACAGAGUCUUCUCCUAGAGAACACCAGUGAUAAAGUUAGUGUCAAGAGUUUGCAUCCUGGCACAACCUCCUACUGGAUGGGUGAAGUCUGGCACGUCGGCAGCACCAUUAUGGGACACAGAAGGGCCAGACUGAUGAGGUCAUGCCAAGGCAAGGGGCAGUAUUUGGCGAAAUAAAUCAGCAAUGCCCAGGAAAGACACACUGGGGCCUGCUGUGUGCGGGACACUGCCAAUCUUGGAGUCUCACCAGUCAGGCUACAAUAAUGCCCACUUUAGACAAUGGCAGUGGAGUGGGAAGACCCUUUGCUCACCUCGUCUUGUGCAACUAGGUAACUACCAAAUCAUCCUAAAUACCCUAGAAAUCAACCUGAAGACUUAGCAGAACAAACCUCACAGCUAAAAGUGGAAAUGCAGUUUCAGAGAGAAACAGAUUGUGGCCACUGCAGUGAGGGGGGAGCUAUGGUCCCAGAGAAGAGCAAGAGACAGACUAGCAGAUGGGAAUGCCCGGGAAAGGUGGUUCCCCAUAGCCGUUGGUUUGGAAAGUGAGAGGGGCUAAGGGCUUAAAGCCUGGAUUUCUGAAGGUCAGCAGGCUUGGACUGGGGACAGCCCCGAGGCCAUUGGGGCUGCUCUAGAAGAGAAGGCAUGGCAAACAGCCCAAGGACCCACAGUGUAGGAACAGUGACCUAAAGAACACCUGGGACACACAGUGGGAUGUUAUUUGCUCAUCUAAGAGUAUGUACCAGAGAGAU
rnacentral:lncRNA from 12 species